UACGUAGGGUGCGAGCGUUGUCCGGAAUUACUGGGCGUAAAGGGCGCGUAGGCGGUGUGUCAAGUCAGGCGUGAAAGCCCCGGGCUCAACCUGGGAACAGCGCUUGAGACUGGCACGCUCGAGUUCGGGAGAGGAUGGUGGAAUUCCCAGUGUAGAGGUGAAAUUCGUAGAUAUUCGCAAGAACACCAGUGGCGAAGGCGGCUCACUGGCCCGGUACUGACGCUGAGGUGCGAAAGCGUGGGGAGCAAACAGG
rnacentral:rRNA from 1 species